rnacentral:misc_RNA from 1 species
AUGUAUGAAAAUUGAAUCUCAGAUGGCAGACAUUUUGUUUCUAUGCUCCUAGCAUAAAAAAAAUUUUCACAUCACCUCAAGACACCUAGAAUCUAAGAAAUUGACUCAUAAAAAUUGUUCUUCACUAAUAAUUCAUCAAAAACAGACCAGAUACCGAGGAACACCCCUUUUCAACUAUGCUCUUCGCCAUCUACAAUGUCCCUUUCUUCGGCAGCAGCAGCCAUCAAUUCAUCAAAGUUUUCAGUCUUUCCCAGCAAUAUCUCAAUCUUGGCUUUUUGAACAGGUCGCCCUCUUGAUUCAUCUCUCAUAUCAACUGUUGAAGUCAUGAUCUUCUUUUCAACCGCCAAUCCAUUGUUUUUCAGAAUUUCUGCAACAGUGACAACUGUAGCAAUAGCCAUUCCAAGUGCAGACAGUUCCACCUCGUUGUGCUGCUGCAUGUAUCUCUUGGCGAGAUUGACAUAGAAGAACAAAGGCUUCUUGGUGUUGGAGACUUGAAUACGAUUUUUCUUGUGUAAAUCGCCAGUCAAGUUGAUGUUGUUAACUCCCUCUGUAAUCUCUUCCAUUAAAGCUCAAAAAUUGGGAAACUAGAAACAAAAAUGAAAACCC